ensembl:lncRNA
CAUCAGUUUGUUCCUGGAGGAGAGGAGUCAUGGGUUUGGAUGGGGCUUGCCUUCCCUCCACUGUGCUCACGGACCACCUAGCUAGGUGGCCCAUGUCCUUUACUAAAUUCUCUGUUUACAUUUCACUUUUAACUAUCAUCAACGUUCAGUGAAUACCAAAUGAUGAUAUCUCACAUGUAUCUCCUAUGCCAGACACCAUGCUUCUGCUCAAAAGCUUGGUUGACUCAUUUCCUUGAUCCAGAAAUAACAACUGCAGUAGCUGGUAACCACACCUUUCGGAGUAAGCUCAUUAUUCGGUCAAACAGGUCACCAACUGUUGGGCAUCCUGGGGUCACAGACAUGCAAUUUACUUAUGACAAAUUACUGGUGGCCUACUUUUCAAAUCAAGGGUUAGAAAUAUAGUCAGUCAUGUACAGUUUGUGCCCAAAACAAUAAUUCUCAUCACCUGCCUUUCAGGGACACUAGAAACACUGCUAACAGCCCUUGCCUAACCUCUGGACUUUAUCAACUAUCCAGAAUCAGGCAAUAUCAUAAUACUGGUGGUGGUUGAUCAGUUCUCUAAAGCAUGUUUCCCCCUUGCAGGUCUUCCCACUGUAUACCAGAGAGCAUGGGCCAGUACUGUUGUGCUAAUACAGGCUAGCAUACAACAUCCUCUCUGGCACUGUUAUACAGUGGGGGGAAAUAAAUUGUUGAACGCAUCAACAUUUUGUUCAGUAAAUAUAUUUCCAAUGAAUGGGUCAAUAAAGUUGCGAAGGUUAAAAAAAAAAAAAAAAAAAAAGACGAACUCUUUGCUUUUACCCAUCAUGAGAUGUUUCUUGUGUGACACCCUGGUAACGAAAUGCCUUUUUUUAGACCAUCAAUUUACUAACCCAGCUGAUAUUAACUUGCACAGAUAGGGGGUGUAAUUACUUAUGGUUUUCAGCUGGUUCCUUGCCUUACCUUGCCUUGGAGAACUGCUUUUUCUUAGUGUGUUCAAUACUUUUUUCCCGUUUCAUUCCACUUUAUUACACAUAACUUUAUUUAUGGACUUCACUGUUGUGAAUUCUUUAUAUUUCCGUAUUUCUCGAGUUAAUACUGAUGUCUGGUGAAAAUUUCAUGUGAAUAACCUCAUUGGAAAUAUAUUUACUGGAAAAAUAUUGAUGUGUUCAAUACUUAUUUCCCCCACUGUAUAUGCCUUUUAUGUAGUGUCUGGGUGUGAACAUUACACUCACUGAUUCUCACCUUCACUCUUGACUCCAAGAUCUUGACUCCAACUGUCAGGUGGAGAGACCGAAGCAGGAAAUCAGCUGGAAAAAAACACUCGUCUUCAAUUUGGAUGUAGCUCCUUCCCUAUGAGGAUACCCCUUACUCAAGACAGAGAUCCACAGACGUUUUCCAUGUGUCACAACACUACCAAUCCCCCUAACCCCCACCACCACGCACACAAGCGCAUCUUGGAACUGGCUACUAGAGUUAACUUAUCUCAUGAUAUGUCCAAGUGACUGACCAUCCUUUCAGUUGUCAGAUCAAGAUCCUCUAGAGUCUGUUCACCAAACCUACAGCUCCACACCUCAGAAGCAACUCAUGGAGGUGUCUUAUCAAUAUACACCCAAUGUUCUGUCUCCCCUGACACCUGCAUCUAACAGUCACCAUGCAAUCUGUGUUGGUGUGUACGUUAAUCCGUUUUCCUAGUAGUGAUGGUUCUAGCAUUAUCCGUCUAGCAUUAUACUUCAAGAUUUGUCCAGUUUUGAUAUCUCGUUUUAUCAUGUGAGGUUUUUCCUCACAGUUCCUCUAUUCCUUGCCUUUUCUUAAUUCACUAUGUUCUUGUUUUAGUUGACUUGUUUAGAGUUUAGUUCUCACCUGUCUUCAUACUACACCUGCUUUUUUGCUGAGUUUGUGGUGUAAUAGCAUUGAUUCGUCUGGCUUUAUGUUCAGCUUGUGUUCUAAUCUUUUGUUUCUCCGUUUCUUGACAGCAGAGGUCAUUUCAGUAAUCAACAAUCAAGUAAAGUAAGCGUGUAGCGCAACUCUGAGCAGAAUAACAUUCUUCACAUGUCUAUUAACAUACCAUCCAUCCAUCUAUUGUAUGCUUAUCGUAUACAGGGUCGCGGGGAACCUAGAGCCUAUCCCAGGGGACUCACGGCACAAGGUGGGGGAGGGUGGACAGGGUGCCAAUUCAUUGCCGGGCACACUCACACAAUAUGGACAAUUUAGAAAUGCCAGUCAGGGCUACAGUGCAUGUACCUGGGGGAGGGAACCGGAGUACCCGGAGGAAAACCCCAAAGUGCGGUGAGAACAUGCAAACUCCGCAGACAAUAGUGGCGGGAAUCAAACCCUCAAACCCUGGAGGUGUGCGGCAAACGUGCUAACCGCUAAACCACCAUGCCCCCUAUUAACAUAUUAUUGGUACUGAAACUGCUGACUUCAGUUACUAACUCUGAAUAAGGUCCUGUGUCAGCAACAAUAUCAUCCACUGCUCUGAAUUGCUGCAGCACAAAUACCAUAUUUGGCCAUGUAAUAAAAAGAUUGUAAUUAUUUUAUUGCUUGACCUCUGUAAAAGGCAAGUGAGAGGUUUGUAAUAUAUUUAUUCCAACUCUACAUAGUUAGCACAAAGGUACUUCAUGUGGACUACAUUGUGAGUGAUUUUCAUUGCUGCCCUUCAUGAGUCACGCAAGCAUUUUUUCUCCCAACUAACAGCAAAAUGUCAUUUGCAAAUAUUUCCAUGUGUUAUUUAAAAAAAUAAUGGAUUGCAACCCAGAGGUGGUGCUCAGGUGUGGAUCACUGGCAAAAAGUAUUUAAUAAGUUUGUGUGGUGUGGGUGAUCUCCACAGACGAUUGCUCCCGGGAAAGCUCCUUUGACACAGCGCUAAUUCACAGUGCAUCAAUUAGAGUCUGUUAGGUAUUCGUGUAGUUGCUGGUUUAAUGGAACAAAAGAUUAACGUUCACUGGACAACAGGCUUUUAACAUAUUAUUUUGAGCCAUGCCCAGACACACCACUUUCCUAGGAGUGAAUGGAGUGUGGGCAGGUGGCUUUUGCACAGAAAAACAAAAAUAAAAAACAACUUGACUUUUAUUGGGCAGUGCGCUCUUUGUUUGUCCUGCCUCUGGGCACAGGGCCUCUCUUUAUGAUGAUUUGUAGACUUCUCAAAAGGUAACCAGCUGCCAAUCAGUAAAUCAUUAGAAAAUCAGUUAGGGAAUGUCAUUGCCAUGAAGAGGUGUACUUGGUCUGAAACUAUAUACUAGGUAGGUGGUACGUGUGAAAGUAACAUCCACAUGAAUACCGUGACACAAGUUUCCCAGCAGAACAUUGCACAGAGCAUCACACUGCCUCCACCAGUUUGCCUUCUUUCCCAUAGUGCAUCCUGGUGCUAUCUCUUCCCAGGUAAGCGACGUACAUGCACGCAGCCGUCCACAUCAUGUAAAAGAAAACGUGAUUCAUCAGACCAGGCCACUUUCUUCCACUGCUCCAUGGUCCAGUUCUGAUGCUCACAUGACCCAUUGUAGGUGUUUUCGGUGGUGGACAGGGGUCAGCAUGGUCAUUCUGACCGGUCUGCAGCUACACAGCUCCAUACGCAGCAAGCUGCACUGCAUUGUGUUCCGACACCUUUCUGUCAUAACCAAUAUUCACUUUUUCACCAAUUUGUGCUACAGAAGCUCUUCUGUGAGACUGGACCAGACAAGCUAGCCUUCGCUCCCCACGCACAUCAACGAGCCUUGUGUGUAAUAUCCAUACAUGAUCGAGAACCUGCAAAUGCCUUGGGGAAGAGUGGAGUAACAUCUCACAGCAAGAACUGACCAAUCUGGUGCACUGAGGUGCACUGCACUACUUAAAGCAGCUUCAGGUUACACCAGAUACUGACUGUUACUUUUAAUAUUGACCCCCCCUUUGCUCAGGGACUCAUUAUUCCAUUUCUGUUCCUCAAAUCUCUGUGAAACUUGUUGUUUAUGUCUCAUUUAUUGAAUCUUUUUAUGUUAAUACCAAUAUUUACACGUGUCAAGAAAUUUGCUUGAAAUAAAAGCAGUUGAAUGUGUGAGGACGUUUCUUUUUUUGAGCUACUGAACAAUAACGUGGCAGCGUUUGUGAAAACCGGAGACACCAUCAGCUACUUACCAAGACCUUCAUGGGCUGAGAUUGGU